CCAAACCUAAUUUUAUCCUUUAAAACACCACAGCCUAGUAGAGUGAAUCCUCAUUUAAACUAAUAAAUGGCCAUAGAUGCAAAAUACUAUUAGAAUGAAUCAGAAUUUUACAGUAAAAGCAGUGUAAGAAACCAUUUUUUUAAAGGUAAAAUGACGCUAGAAAUAGAGGAUUCACUUUUGGAAGGCUUCAUAAUAUUGAAAAUAUGACCCUUGCCCCUUUCAAUUUGAAGAUAAGCUAAUAGGUUCACUCUGUACCUAAGAGCUGCAAGCACAACAGCCAACAGAUACUUCCUAUGCUCUCUUUUGUUAGGGGAUUAACUCAGAAGCAAUUCUUUGUAUGUGAAGCUUUUUCUCUCCCCCACUGCAAUAAAGGAGGAAUAAAAAGGAAGCUGUGUUUCUUUCUCGGAUUUCGGUUUUCUCAGCCCGGGUCUCAUCUUCAUGCAUUGCUGAACAAGGCUGAUUUGGUGAAGAGUUAAUACUACAAAGCAGCUGAAGGAAAGACUCCUUUGCAAGGGAACAAAUCACAAGACAAGAUGAAGAUCCUAGUCCUGACUAUGACCAUCUUAGAUUUUAUGGUUUACUUCCUGGCAGACUCCAAAGCAACUCAGAGUCUUGAACACGUCUUCCCAUCCACUGGCAGAUCUAAACCAUUCUUUGCCCCUAAUCUUGCUACAUACAUCCAAAAUGCCAAAAACAAGUUCACUCCCUCAGCAGAUGAGAAUACCAUUGCCAAAUCAAAUAAAACAACCUCCUUGGAACUAGUACCACUACUCAUAAAGAAGAGGCAGGACCAGACGGUCAUAAUCACUGAAUAUCACACUCUUCUUAUGAUUCUUGUUAGCAAUUCAAGGACAUAAAUCUUCAUUCUUCUCCGGUGCAGACAACUUAAAUGGGUCUGUUUUCACUUUGCUGAAUUUCUUCAAUAAAUCUUUUUGGCAAGCAACUAAUUUACUGUAUGUAGGUGUGUUUGAUAUUCUAGUACAGACUUCUUAAAUUAGGAAAAAUAAAGAGAAACAAAAAUCCAUUGUUUGUUUAAAGAAUAACAUAACUCUCAACGAGACAGAAAAUUGAUAACAAUAUCCGGGAUUGGAACUAAGAUCCAGAACAAAUAAACUCAAUAGGGCUCUCCAUUUUAAACACACAAAAUAUACAUUAUCCACAAAAUCUAACGAUAUAUCUAAAGAUAUACAAAGACUCAAAACAAGGGGAUGGAAAAAAGCUCACCAACCAAAUGGAGAGCAAAAAUAAAUAAAUAAAAAGCAGGAGUUGCAAUUCUCACACUUAAUAAAAUAGAUUUCAAAGCUACAAGGAUGCAAGGGUAAAAGGAUUAAUACAACAAUAAGAGAUCUUAACACCCAGAUACAUAAGACACAUAAUGAGAUUUAGAUUCAACGAGACAACAAAUUGAUAAGAUAUCCAGGACUUGAACUCAGAACCAGAACAAAUAAACACAACAGAGGUCUCCAUUUUAAACACAUAAAAUAUGGAUUAACCACUUUAAACACUCAAAAUAUUGAUCGGCCAUUAUUGAAACCCAUUUUAGGAAUGAAGUAAUAUUCCUUUUUCCCUCUUUUUCUUUUUUUCCCCUUCUUUUUCUCUUUUUCCCUCAAAAAAAAAAAUGCUAAAAUAAUAGAAUAAAAAAAAAAAAGAAUAACAUAACUCUAAUCAUCAGAAGUAGAAUUAUUCAAUAGAGAUUCAUAAUUGUAUUACAUUAAAAAAAGAAAUAAAAACAAUGCCAAAACACUAAGUGAAUGAAAGACAUUAUGUAUGGGGGGCUUGUAUAGGAAU
ensembl:lncRNA